GCCUUCGUGGCUCAGCCGGUAGAGCGUGUCCUUGGUAAGGACAAGGUCGCGGGUUCGAUUCCCGCCGAAGGCU
rnacentral:tRNA from 1 species